CUGAGGGUCGUCCGUCCUCCCCCGAGGGGCCCGUAGCAACCCAGAGAUCUUCUCCUCCUGCUCUUCCCUCCGCUCUGCAGGUCCGGGCUCACGUCUGCGGUGGCUUUGUGCUCCUUCCUCUCUGCCGUCCGCCUGCCACUCUCCUGGGCCCCCUUGAAAUCUAGACACCCUCACCGUCACAUGUCAGGGCUGGAGAGCUGAGCUCAGGGGGACUUCACAGAUGAAGGACAAGCCUUUCGCACGACGCCCUGACAUCUCUUGACCUGCUCCGUUCCACUGCCUCUGACUCGUGCGAGUCCUCACCGACCUGUCACCCUAUGGAUCCUGCGUGUGUUCAAGUAUCUCCUGUCUUAAAAACAAACACAUUUCUCCAGAGAGACUUUCAGCCCUACCCGGAAAUCAGUCCUCCUCGGGGCCCCAGAUCACCAACGUGACUCCUCCGCCGUCACCUGUGUGACCCUGCAGUGUAACACAACCUCACCUCUCCGCUUCCUCCACUGCACUGCAAGCUCCUCAAA